UGAGUUUUCAUCGUAUUUUGGUUUAUAAGAUAGGCAUUUUCUUUUAUCACUGAAAAAUUUAGAAUUUAUCUUUUCUUUAUAUCUAUCAUUUAUACUUACACGCUCACAAUUUCCUCAUUUUACAUGCUUGCUGGGAGUUUUCUGACUCCCCUGGGGUUUGCAUGCCCCAGACUUGGGAAUUGUUCUUUCUUCGCAGGACCAAGAGUACUUUAAGGAUUAAAACCAGCGUCAGUGAUCACCUUCUCUCUCUCUCAGCUUCAGUUAUUGAGUCUUUCUUGUAAUCACUUAUGGUACUUCAGACUAAGAUGUAUUUUCCUCUUUCCUACUUUGACGAGUUGUGGACAUGAUGAUCUAGAGGCGUGAAUGUAACCUGUAUGGUUGCAUUGCCGACCGAGUCACGCUCCAAAUUAUCACGUUUUGGACCCGGGGCGUGACAGACAGGGAGACAGCAAUGAUUGCUGCUGCUGUUAGCGGAGGGCCAGAGGCAGAAGCGAUGCUUCAACAUUGCCGGUUAGGGCAUUUAUCUUUUGAGAGUUUAAAUAGAUUAGAACCUGAGUUAAUGAAGAAAGUGGAUAGAAAAGAGUUAUUUUGUAAUGCAUGUGAACUUGGAAAACAUACUCGUUCUACUUAUAGAAUGAUUGGUCUUCGAAGUUGUGAACCA